CAGGCGGGCAGGCGUUGCGGGGGACCGGCUCUGCCCCAGGCCUGCCAGCAUGGCCUGGCACCCAUGGGAUGGAGGGCUGGGAGGCCCUGGUUGACCUCUGGCUUGGACUCUGGGUUUGAUGAAGAGUUCUAGCGGAAGCAUCAGCCAGUCAUUAAUUCCAGGGAGGGUGCACGUGGAACCAGAAGGGGUGGCUGGCCAGGCAGGAGGCUGCCCCUCACCAGGGAGAAGAAAGAGCGCUCCUCUCUCCAGCCUUGCUGUGGCCUUCAACUUGCUUCACCGGGUGUCCAGAAUCACAGGCGGGUGGAAUGAGAGCAGUUUGAAUGACACCUGCUCUUUACAAGGCUGAAACCGAAGCCGCCUGAGGUCCCCGGGAGACUUGCUAAAACUUCAACUGCACCCAGUUCAGCAGAGCAACUUGAAAGUUAAUCAGCGGUGAGGGACAAUUUGCCUCAUUAUUUCCAGCCCUGGAAUUUGGCGGCAGAUGGAAUUUGGGGCCUGGUGUGGACACGGCAAUGAACACAGCAAGGACUGUCGCCCCUUGGUAUGGCCUUGUUGGGUCUGGGCCUGGAUGGGCUGAUACUCCCUCUGAAGAUGGGCGGUGCCAGGAAGGAUUUCCCACUUGAGAGAACAAGGGCAAUAAGGCUCCCCUAUCCCAGGUCCAGGCCAGUGUGGAGUAAUCCUUAGAUACACAGUUCUGAGCACGUAUUCGGGCUGAACCCUGCACUGGAUUCUGGGGAAACAAGAGUGGAAUCCGAUACAGUUGCAUCCAAUAUAGGACGCAGACCAGAGACACUGGGGUAAAUUCUCACAGGAGAGGAACACCUGUGGGUGGCACCUUCUGCAUGAAUCUGCGAAAAACAAAUCUGCCCCACUUCCCCUCACUUUCUCAAUAAGGUCCACUCAGACCCUUGACUUUAAUGUUAACCCCCUCCCAGGCACUCCCACCUCCACACUCUGCCAUACUCUCCACAGCACAUAGCACUGACCACCUUCUAACACACUAUGUUAGUUCCUCACUUAUCAUGUUUAUUGUUUAUCACAUCACCUUCCACAGGAAGGUAAGACCCUCCUUCCAUGAGGGCAGGAAUAUUUGUUUUGUUAAUUAGUCUAUCUCCAGCCCCAGCACAUAAAAUGCCCUCAAUAAAUGUCGUGUGAACAAAUGAA